GAAUCAUCCAAGGAAACCUAAUAAUUUAUCUAAUAAUUUAGAAAGAAGAAUAGCACAGCCCCUGCACAAGGAUGACAUGCACAUUCUUGAAGUGCUCCCUAUUUUU
rnacentral:snRNA from 1 species